rnacentral:lncRNA from 1 species
UUUUGGCUUCUAACUUGAACCAAUUUUAAGAUCUAACAUCAACUCUUUUCCCACAAAUUUUCAGCCAAGUUUGGGCCAUUUCCUCUCAAAUUCCAAACCGGCCCAAUAUUUCCAACAUUCAACAGAAACCCAUUAUAACAACAACAUUCUAAUCAGCCCUAUACUCAAAUCAAUAGCCCCUUUUCCAUAAUUUCCAGCCCACCAAGCCAAUCCAUUUCCCCUUAACCCGGCCCAUUUCUUUUGUUCAGCAAAGAGUUCAACAACUAUUCCAAACAACAAAGGCAAACAGCAGCACACGGAAAUCUCACGGAGACGGACGGAAAGCAGCGGCAACAGGCAGUACGCUGCCUUUUCUUGUCUUCUUCCUCAACGUCCCUCUCCGAUAGUACUGUUCCAGCCGUGAUUCCAGUAAAAGCAGCACGCAUUUUCGUCCUUGUGGUGUGAGAUUGAGGCACAUAGCAUCUCAAGGACUCUCAAUCGAUCGAGACCCUCCACCUCAUUCCAAUCCGUUUGAAAUGAGGAUCAAUUCGGUAUAUUCUUCCGUCCUUGGAGAGAAUUUGAGGGGGAAUUUUCAAAAUUUGUGGGCCUUGUUCUUAUCCAACUUCUCGGCCCUUUUCCCAAAUUCCGAACCCUAGUUUUUCCUUAUAAAUACCCUCUUUGCUCACUGUUCAAAGGAGGGUUUUUUUUCGAGACCUGAGAGUACCCUAAAAGGUUUGGGAAAUCUUGGUUCAAUAGUUUAAUUUGUUGUGGUUGUUUGAGUUGAAAGAGGUGGAAUCGUCUCCGUCAAACUCAUCCGUCCAGUUCGCUGCCCCGAGCCAGGUAAUCUUCUCUUUAUUUCAGCAUUUUGUUGGCUCUUGAAAUCUUGUUUGGCGUUAGCUGUUUAAGUAUGUUUUCAGUAGCUUAAAUUUUAUUUUUUAUUUUUUGCCUAUUUUUGAACUGUCUAAUUUAUAUGUGAGAUAUUUAUGUCUUUAAUUUCAUCAUUUUCUACCAUCUUAGGACAAAUAUAAUCAGUAUUGAAUGAAGUUAGAGUUAUUUUUUUUUUUAUUUUUUUUUAUUUUUUUUGUUCAAGCAUUUUAGUUGUCAAGUAGUCGAUCUGUGUAGCUUGUUGUAUUCGUUUGAUUUGAAAAGGUUUUAAAGCGCUAGUUAUUCUCGACUUGCUUCACCUUUUGACUUAUGACAAAUUUUAAAUUUGGAGUUGAAUAUUCUCAUUCAUGAUGAGCGAAAACCUCCCCAUUCAUCUAAUCUUUUUACAUGUAUAAGAGAAUGUAGUGAUUAAUUUCUCUCUAGUCAGCCAUGUGAUCCAAUAUGAGCUUGAAGUGUGUUUAUUUUGAUUAUAGCGCGACUGUUUAAAUUCGAGUUUGCGAACUUGCUUCAUGCUGUCUCAUUUCCAAUCGUUUUCGGCUCCUAGUUGUCGUCCGUCUCUCUGUUUUGAGGUUCCUAUUUUGAUUUCCAUGUGAAUGAUUCAAAAUGAUGUUCGAUUUAGUGUUAUGUCUCAUGUUACCUUAAGAUUAAUGAGUGUAGCUAUAUGUUUAACACAACUGAUAAUUUAUUUAUGUGUUAAGAUGUUAGUUUGUUGUUCUUUAUAAUGCUACUGUCGGGAUUAAUGGAACACAAAAGUUCUCAUGUGUUAACCGAUUUUUAUUUAUUUUUGACUCCUUAAUCUCUAGUUUUCUCUGACUGCUGGUUGAAUUUAAGGUUUAUGUGAAGUUGUUUAAAUUGUCCCUUCCUUGUCUAUUUUCCGAUUUUCUUUGCUCAAAUUUAUAGCUAAAGUUUGUAGUUAUGGAUUGUCUUAAUGUGAAUAUAAAGAAAAGGUUUUAGGAUCAAAUGUUGCCUUCAUUUUGUUUGGCAUAUUACUUGAUUUAUCUCUGCCAAAAAAUGAUUUUCAAUUGUCCAUAAUUAAUUAAGCAUGUUAGUAUAAACUACUUUGAAGUCCUCAUUAUGAUAUGUCAUUUUUAUCGCCUUUAGCAUAACUGAGUUAAUACAUAUCAAUUAAUCUUAUGUGACUUCAAAUAUUUAAAUUUUGAAUCUAAAAGAGAUUGGAGUUUGUACAUCCAUGAGUAGUGUCGGGUUUGGUCUUGGUGUGAUACUUGUUUGAAUCUCUUUAUUUAUUAAUUAUAUGGAAUGUACUCUUUCUAUCAUUAAUUAUUAUACAUGCUAGUUGAAGUCUGCAUGCCUUAAUUCUUGG